rnacentral:tRNA from 1 species
GGGGAUUUAGCUCAGCGGCAUAAGCGCCUGCCUUGAAAGCAGGCAGUCCUGAGUUAGAUCCCCA